rnacentral:rRNA from 1 species
UACGUAGGUGGCAAGCGUUGUUCGGAAUUAUUGGGCGUAAAGCGCGCGCAGGCGGUUUCUUAAGUCUGAUGUGAAAGCCCCCGGCUCAACCGGGGAGGGUCAUUGGAAACUGGGAAACUUGAGUGCAGAAGAGGAAAGUGGAAUUCCAAGUGUAGCGGUGAAAUGCGUAGAGAUUUGGAGGAACACCAGUGGCGAAGGCGACUUUCUGGUCUGUAACUGACGCUGAGGCGCGAAAGCGUGGGGAGCAAACAGG